CCUACGGGAGGCAGCAGUGGGGAAUAUUGCACAAUGGGGGAAACCCUGAUGCAGCAACGCCGCGUGAGUGAAGAAGUCUUUCUGUAUGUAAAGCUCUAUCAGCAGGGAAGAAGAACGACGGUACCUGACUCAGCAGCCCCGGCCAACUACGUGCCAGCAGCCCCGGGAAAUCGUAGGGGGCAAGCGUUAUCCGGAUUUACUGGGGGGAAAGGGAGCGUAGACGGCUGUGCAAGUCUGAAGUGGAAGCCCGUGGCUCAACCGCGGAACUGCUUUGGAAACUGUAUAGCUUGAGUGCAGGAGAGGCAGGCGGAAUUCCUAGUGUAGCGGUGAAAUACGUAGAUAUUAGGAGGAACACCAGUGGCGAAGGCGGCCUGCUGGACAGAAACUGACGUUGAGGCUCGAAAGCGUGGGGAGCAAACAGGAUUAGAUACCCCAGUAGUC
rnacentral:rRNA from 1 species